AUGCGUGCAGGCACAUGGGAGGUCUUUCCGUUGGCAGUGCACAGGCACCGCAGGUGGCAUAUUAUUAAAAAGGCCGAGGAGACGCUAGGACCAUUUAUUGCUGACCGUCUAGAGCUGCACAAGGCAUUCGAGUUAUGCGUGGACCACAGCCUGACGGUGGAGGAGUUUGAACGGAGUUGGGCGGCUAUGAUUGAAACAUACCAAGUCCAAGACAACGAGACACUUACUGGCCUGUGGGAGAAGCGAAUGUACUGGGUGCUGGCCUACUUCAUGCAGUGCUUCUUCCCAUUUCUGCAGACUACGCAACGCAGCGAGGGGUUCAACGUUGUUUUGAAGCGGUACGUGACCCCUGGAAACUCAUUGCUGUAGUUUGCCAAGCAAUACAAAGCUUUGCAACAGAAAAUACUGGUAUCUAAGCUACAGCAAGAAGCGAACACCGCACUCAAGCAGCCUAAAUUGCUAACAUAUUUGCCAAUGGAGAGGCAGAUGAGCAAGAUAUAUACCAACACAUUUUUUAACAAGUAA
rnacentral:rRNA from 1 species